rnacentral:rRNA from 1 species
UCCGGAGGGUGCGAACGUUAAUCGGAAUUACUGGGCGUAAAGCGCACGUAGGCGGUCGGAUAAGUCGGAUGUGAAAGCCCUGGGCUUAACCUGGGAACUGCAUUCGAUACUGUCUGGCUAGAGUAUGGGAGAGGGAAGCAGAAUUUCCGGUGUAGCGGUGAAAUGCGUAGAUAUCGGAAGGAAUACCAAUGGCGAAGGCAGCUUCCUGGCACAAUACUGACGCUCAGGUGCGAAAGCGUGGGGAUCAAACAGG